GUGGGGAAUCUUAGACAAUGGGGGAAACCCUGAUCUAGCCAUGCCGCGUGAGCGAUGAAGGCCUUAGGGUUGUAAAGCUCUUUCAGCUGGGAAGAUAAUGACUGUACCAGCAGAAGAAGCCCCGGCUAACUCCGUGCCAGCAGCCGCGGUAAUACGGAGGGGGCUAGCGUUGUUCGGAAUUACUGGGCGUAAAGCGCACGUAGGCGGACCGGAAAGUCAGAGGUGAAAUACCAGGGCUCAACCUUGGAACUGCCUUUGAAACUCCUGGUAUUGAGGUCGAGAGAGGUGAGUGGAAUUCCGAGUGUAGAGGUGAAAUACGUAGAUAUUCGGGGGAACACCAGUGGCGAAGGCGGCUCACUGGCUCGAUACUGACGCUGAGGUGCGAAAGCGUGGGGAGCAAACAGGAUUAGAAACCCGGGUAGUCC
rnacentral:rRNA from 1 species